CAGGGUCUUGCUCUGUGACCCAGGCUGGAGAGCAGUGGUGUGAUCAUGGCUCACUGCAGCCUCAAUCUUCUGGUCUCAAGAAAUCCUGCUGCUUCACCUCACAAGUAGCUGGGACUACAGUGAAUAAGAAUGGUCUUCUUACAUAAUGCAGGGAUGGAAGAAGAUACUUGGAAAAAUCAGGGAAGAGUGAAGAAGAUACUUCAAAAAAUCGGGGAAGAUUUUCAUCAUAAGGUCCAAGCAAAGGCAUGAGUAUAAGAUAUUCCUGAGCCUGAGUCUACUGACAAAUAUACCACAUCCCCAGAGUAAGUUGGAGUCUCUUAAAAUUGUCUUGCUGGCAUCUAGCGGAGAUUGUCCCCACAAGCAUGUUCCUUAUGACGGAUGCCUGGGUCAGAAC
rnacentral:lncRNA from 10 species